GUGCUGUCAAAACUUCACUUCAAACUCAUCAAGAUAAGCAAUACCUAAAUCAAAUUUUUGAUCUCAAUCAAAGCUUCCUUUCUCUUGUCCUCUAAUUCUAUUAUUUCAAGGAUGAUCAAGAACCUAAAUCAACCUCCUAUUUCAACCGUUAUAUGCCUGAAACAACCAAUGAACCGCCCAAUAUUCCAUGGCCCAAAACCCAUCUCACUCACAUAAUGUCUCUUCUCUACCAUGGACGUUGCUGCUGGAUGCUCCAGAAUCAGCAUCAUGCAGUUACGUUUUACCCAUAGUUUCUUCAUAAACGUUGUAGCCCUUAAAAAGUUAAUCAGUUUAGCCUCAAGAAUGACUCAAUUCGGAUAUGUGUGCUAGGAGAUAUGCCUUAUGUACUAUAGUCGUGUUGUGAUUCAACGAACUACCACUAUAACUAUUGUUGUUGUCAUUUUGUUGUGUGUAAGCUCAAGUGGGAUUCAAAUGGAGCUUGAUUGAAUUUAAUGGAUUGUAAAUUGUGUUAUAUAAACUAUGGUUUAUUUAUUUGAGAGAUUAGUUUAUAUAUUGUUGUAAGAUGUUUGUGAGUUAAUGAAUUAUACCUAUUCAUGUUUA